rnacentral:rRNA from 1 species
UGGGGAAUUUUGGACAAUGGGCGCAAGCCUGAUCCAGCCAUUCCGCGUGAGUGAAGAAGGCCUUCGGGUUGUAAAGCUCUUUCGGCGGGAACGAAAUCGGUGAGGCUAAUAACCUUACUGGAUGACGGUACCUGAAGAAGAAGCACCGGCUAACUACGUGCCAGCAGCCGCGGUAAUACGUAGGGUGCGAGCGUUAAUCGGAAUUACUGGGCGUAAAGCGUGCGCAGGCGGUUCGUUAAGACAGAUGUGAAAUCCCCGGGCUCAACCUGGGAACUGCGUUUGUGACUGGCGAGCUAGAGUGCGGCAGAGGGGGGUAGAAUUCCACGUGUAGCAGUGAAAUGCGUAGAGAUGUGGAGGAAUACCGAUGGCGAAGGCAGCCCCCUGGGUUGACACUGACGCUCAUGCACGAAAGCGUGGGGAGCAAACAGG